rnacentral:rRNA from 1 species
AGAGUUUGAUUCUGGCUCAGAACGAACGCUGGCGGCGUGGAUAAGACAUGCAAGUCGAACGAGAGAAUUGCUAGCUUGCUAAUAAUUCUCUAGUGGCGCACGGGUGAGUAACACGUGAGUAACCUGCCCCCGAGAGCGGGAUAGCCCUGGGAAACUGGGAUUAAUACCGCAUAGUAUCGAAAGAUUAAAGCAGCAAUGCGCUUGGGGAUGGGCUCGCGGCCUAUUAGUUAGUUGGUGAGGUAACGGCUCACCAAGGCGAUGACGGGUAGCCGGUCUGAGAGGAUGUCCGGCCACACUGGAACUGAGACACGGUCCAGACACCUACGGGUGGCAGCAGUCGAGAAUCAUUCACAAUGGGGGAAACCCUGAUGGUGCGACGCCGCGUGGGGGAAUGAAGGUCUUCGGAUUGUAAACCCCUGUCAUGUGGGAGCAAAUUAAAAAGAUAGUACCACAAGAGGAAGAGACGGCUAACUCUGUGCCAGCAGCCGCGGUAAUACAGAGGUCUCAAGCGUUGUUCGGAAUCACUGGGCGUAAAGCGUGCGUAGGCUGUUUCGUAAGUCGUGUGUGAAAGGCGCGGGCUCAACCCGCGGACGGCACAUGAUACUGCGAGACUAGAGUAAUGGAGGGGGAACCGGAAUUCUCGGUGUAGCAGUGAAAUGCGUAGAUAUCGAGAGGAACACUCGUGGCGAAGGCGGGUUCCUGGACAUUAACUGACGCUGAGGCACGAAGGCCAGGGGAGCGAAAGGGAUUAGAUACCCCUGUAGUCCUGGCAGUAAACGGUGCACGCUUGGUGUGCGGGGAAUCGACCCCCUGCGUGCCGGAGCUAACGCGUUAAGCGUGCCGCCUGGGGAGUACGGUCGCAAGAUUAAAACUCAAAGAAAUUGACGGGGACCCGCACAAGCGGUGGAGUAUGUGGCUUAAUUCGAUGCAACGCGAAGAACCUUACCUGGGCUUGACAUGUAAUGAACAACAUGUGAAAGCAUGCGACUCUUCGGAGGCGUUACACAGGUGCUGCAUGGCCGUCGUCAGCUCGUGUCGUGAGAUGUU